rnacentral:rRNA from 1 species
AGUGAACGCUGGCGGUAGGCCUAACACAUGCAAGUCGAACGGCCGCACAGUAAGAGUUUGCUCUUAUGGGAGGCGAGUGGCGGACGGGUGAGGAAACCAUCGGACUCUACUUUUUCGUGGGGGAUAACGACGGGAAACUUACGCUAAUACAGCAUACGACCUACGGGUGAAAGCAGGGGCUCUUCGCCCUUUGCGCGAUUGAAUGAGCCGAUGUCGGAUUAGCUAGUUGGCGGGGUAAAGGCCCACCAAGGCGACGAUCCGUAGCUGGUCUGAGAGGAUGAUCAGCCACACUGGAACUGAGACACGGUCCAGACUCCUACGGGAGGCAGCAGUGGGGAAUAUUGGACAAUGGGCGCAAGCCUGAUCCAGCCAUACCGCGUGGGUGAAGAAGGCCUUCGGGUUGUAAAGCCCUUUUGUUGGGAAAGAAAAGCAGCAGGUUAAUACCCCGCUGUUCUGACGGUACCCAAAGAAUAAGCACCGGCUAACUUCGUG